rnacentral:tRNA from 1 species
GCUUUCGUGGUGUAGCGGUCUGCAGUCUCGGCGCGUAAUCGAGAGGUCCAUGGUUCGAGUCCCGGCGAGAGCA